GAUGAACGCUGGCGGCGUGCCUAAUACAUGCAAGUCGAGCGAAUGGAUUAAGAGCUUGCUCUUAUGAAGUUAGCGGCGGACGGGUGAGUAACACGUGGGUAACCUGCCCAUAAGACUGGGAUAACUCCGGGAAACCGGGGCUAAUACCGGAUAAUAUUUUGAACCGCAUGGUUCGAAAUUGAAAGGCGGCUUCGGCUGUCACUUAUGGCUGGACCCGCGUCGCAGUAGCUAGUUGGUGAGGUAACGGCUCACCAAGGCAACGAUGCGUAGCCGACCUGAGAGGGUGAUCGGCCACACUGGGACUGAGACACGGCCCAGACUCCUACGGGAGGCAGCAGUAGGGAAUCUUCCGCAAUGGACGAAAGUCUGACGGAGCAACGCCGCGUGAGUGAUGAAGGCUUUCGGGUCGUAAAACUCUGUUGUUAGGGAAGAACAAGUGCUAGUUGAAUAAGCUGGCACCUUGACGGUACCUAACCAGAAAGCCACGGCUAACUACGUGCCAGCCGCCGCCGUAA
rnacentral:rRNA from 1 species